rnacentral:rRNA from 1 species
UACGUAGGGUGCAAGCGUUGUCCGGAAUUAUUGGGCGUAAAGAGCUCGUAGGCGGUCUGUCGCGUCGGCUGUGAAAACCCGUGGCUCAACCCCGGGCCUGCAGCCGAUACGGGCAGGCUAGAGUUCGGCAGGGGAGACUGGAAUUCCUGGUGUAGCGGUGAAAUGCGCAGAUAUCAGGAGGAACACCGGUGGCGAAGGCGGGUCUCUGGGCCGAUACUGACGCUGAGGAGCGAAAGCGUGGGGAGCGAACAGG